GACUGUAGCUUAGCUACAGUCAAAAUUUUGUCCCUUGAUUUUGCCUUAUUUACACACUGCUGCCACCAAAUCUGUGGCUGGGUUGGGGUUUGGGCUGCCUCAAUUUUUUUCAUGGGCUUCGUUAGUUUUCGGUAAAAGCCCGGCCCUCAGUUGGACCCUCUGUCGUUUGAUGACAGUUCUGCCCAUCAAAGCUUAAAAUUCGACGGUAGGGAUGAUGUGUUUGGAAGGGCAAUUUGGUCCUCUAAUGUUUUGAGCGAAUUGUGGGGUAGGUUUGGCUUCGUUGUCAUUCGAUGAGGAUUUCGGGGGAUGGACCGCCCCUGAGAUGGAGAGUGUGUGUGAGAGAGAGAUAUGGGAGGAUUUGUGGAGGGAUUUUAGGGAUUUUCUUAGAGAGGGAGAUGAGACAGAGAGAGAGAGAGAGAGAUUUCAGCGAUUUGAAAAUUCAUCCCCUUCACACAAGCUCUGCAAAUUAGUCUUCCUUUCUUUUCUAUCUGCCGUUUGCAUAUUUCUCUCGCCAAUUAUCGACGCCGGUUCUUGGUCAGAAACUUUUGCGCUCUUGCAAAAUUCUUUUGUUUGAAAACCCUCAACCCUUACAAGUUUCUGCCUUUUUUGAAUUCGGUCGGAAUCCAAUUUCUUGCUCACAUAACCUAGCGUUUCCUGGAAAGGCUGGGGUUCGAAUUAUGGGGUUUUUGCAUACAAGAUUGGAAGCCCUUUCUUAUCAAGUUGGAAGAAAAUGGAAACCCUAUCAAAGUCUGUAACUACAAGCAAACAUGAGGAGACACAAAUCGGAUUGAGUGAGAGAUAUAUGUUUUGGAAUCAGGCCGAAUCCCUUUAACCACGGAGACUAUUUUUGACAAGUGAAUGAAAAGGGAAAUAGUUAUUGGGAAAAGAAUUGCCACCAAAUUUUGGGACUGAGAAAGCUAUUCGUGCCAAGUAUGAGGAAAGACUGGGUUGCGAAGAAUGCAAAACAACCAGCUCCUAAACCAGUAGAUAUGAGCAUCAGUUCCAAUAGUUUGGUAAAGGAUAGAGCCACAUGUGGAGCUCCAAAGGAAACAAGGAGACAUUCUCUUGAGGAAGCGAUGCUUUUUACGGUGGCGGAAGCUGCUCCUCCAGUGGCAAGAUCCCGUGGGGUAGAUUUUAACUAGAUCUCUCAUUCACAGUUGCAAAAUAAUGGUCAGUUGGUGCGACGAUAUUGACUUCACUAAUGGACAUGAAAAUGAGACAUGGUAUAGUAAAGAUUUACUUUUCAGCAUCUGACAACACUGAUAUAGCAUUUGGUGUAUACUUUGCUUUUGAAUCCCAAUCGGAAUUAUGCCCCUCUCAGUACUGAGGAUCCUGGAAAUUCCAGUCGGGUUGCACUUACUCUUGGUCUACCCCCAACAUUGGUCUUUAAAUGUGGAAGAGGAAGCGCGUCCAUCCCACCCACCAAAAAAUGGUUAGAGCCUUAGAGUUUUUAAUCUCGCAGCAACGCGCGGGCAAUAUUUCUAGUAUAUACUAAAACCCAAACGGGUGGAACACUGUUCAUGAACAGUGAAAGUAACAGUGAUCUAACGAAAUUGCCCCUGCUUGGUCUGUUUAAUUUCAAUUGCGCUAUGUUUUACAUGUGUUUGUCAUCGGUGAAAUGGAAGCAGGCUGAAAAAUCUGGGGUGUUCCACCUGCUUCCUUGCUCUUCUUUUCCAUCGACUUCUCUGUCACUAUGUCGCAACCAACUACAACACCGAUUCACCCUCCAUUUCUCCUGCUUAGCAAAAGAAAAUCAAAGGGGUUCACCUCCUUGGGUUCCGUAAGAUGCUGGAAGCAUCUUUCGUUUCUCUCUUUCUUCUUCUUUUCUUCCACCUCUUCGUUCGCCGAAGCAACUAAAAAUAAAAAACCUACUCGCGGCUUCUUCCUCCCGAUUUCAGAGCUUCUCUCUCUUCCACUCUCUCUCUCUCUCUCUCUCCCCCUCCAUUGAAGCACCUCCAUACACAGGUAUCGUUUCUCCCGUAAUUAUAUAUUUAAUUAUUUGAAAGUUAGUUCUUUUGUGUAAAAUUCUUUAGCUUUUGAUUACCUGCAAUUUUCAAUUUUAUACAAUAUAGGAUUUUUGGAUAAUUUCAUGAUUUAGCGAUCCUACUAAUGAUAUAUGAAGUAGAAUCAAUAUGAGGAAUAGAUUCUUCAAUUUCGUAGCUUCCAAGCCUAAACAAGUGAUUUUUUGCGUUUGUUUAUGUCUGAUUUGCACCGAUUUUGGUCGGAUCUAUUUCUGAUUUUUGUUUUCCGUUUGAGCACCGGUUGUUUUUGCAUUGCUGGGAAGUUAAUUUUCUACAACUGAGGUAUGUUUUCUAACUGCUGUGUUUUGAUUUUUAUUCUGUGUUUUGAUUAUUUUUGGAUGGAAUUGUAACCGUUUGGUUUUGGGUUGGCUAUGUUCCUAUGCUAGAGUUUUCCUGGCAAAGAGGAUAUUUUGCGGUUUGGUUCCUUGCUUGGUCAUUCUCUGUUUUACUUCCGGCGGUCCUGUUAUUUUUUGGAAAAUCAGGAAUUUGAACAUCAGCUUGCGACUUCGCCGUCGUUUUGAACGCCACCAGCUUCGAUGCAGUCCUUGGAGACACCCCUGCCUCCUUUGCCAUAGUCGAAUUCUUUGCUCACUGGUGCAAAACGCCAUAGAGUAUUUAAACAUCAUCUGGGCCUUCGAUGAGAAUGAGAAUCUAACUGUUUUAGAUAUUUCAGAAUUUCAGAAAGCAAGUGCGGUUUGAUCAAUUAAGGCCAACCUGAUUUACAGAUGUCUGAUUAGAGGAAACGUUGUUGUUCGAAUUUUAGGGUUUUUGUAUAGAAGCUUGCAAGCCCUCUCGAACCAGAAGUUAGUGGUGAUUCGAAACCUGUUAACUGGGAUGAGAAUUAGAGUGGCUUGAAAUCGGAGAAAAUUGAAUUGCAGGUGGUGUUCUGAUUUUUCAUUCCUUCUCAUCACUUCUACAAGAGGUUAGGUAGGAGAGGAUGGAGGUGAGAAAUACAAUUGGGAAAGAUAUGCUGAGAGGUUUACAAGUGCUAAAGAUUUUGCAUUAACUUUUUUUUUUUCAUUUGCCCGUGUUCUAAUCCAAAAGGUUUAAAGUUGGUUGAAUAUUGCAAAUAGGUAUAGGUUUGGUUAUAAUAAAAGACGUAAUUAAAUUAUUACUAUGACAUAGUAACAUUGUGAGUGGUCUUUUAUUAAUCUCUCUAUCAGUGACAGUAGCAAAGCAAAUAUAUCAUAGAUGAGACUAAUAUUUAAAACCAUGUUUAUUAGGGUGUUGGUAUUCGCCAGGAGGGGUAGUUUACCUUGGGGGUGCAACGAAUGUGGAGAUUCGUUAGACCAAAUGAUCAAAUUGA